UUCUCAAAUCAAUCCCAAUUCUCAUCAACUUCACUUCUCAUAGACGAUUUAAAAAUCUUGCAAACACCGACGCUUGUGUAUGAUGGCAAGAUCAAAUUCGACUCGUGAAGACUGCAAUCUCUACUUAGUAGAACAGAUUCAGCACCAGAGAGUUGUGAUCCAGAACAAUCAUAAAGAAAAUCUUGUUGGCAUAUUGCAUGAAACAGGUUCGAAGGAGGUUGUCAUCUUGUGUCACGGAUAUAGAUCCUGCAAGGACAGAAUUCCUAUGGUGAAUCUUGCUGCUGCUUUUGGAAAUGAAGGAAUUAGUGCCUUUCGCUUUGACUUUGCUGGCAAUGGAGAUAGCGAAGGUUCUUUUCAGUAUGGGAAUUAUUACAGAGAAGUUGAUGAUCUGCGGGCUGUGAUGCAAUACUUUGAUCAAGAGAAACGCUCUGUGGCUGCAAUUAUUGGGCACAGUAAAGGAGGAAAUGUGGUGCUUCUAUAUGCUUCAAGGUUUAAUGAUGUACAUAGUGUGGUCAAUAUUUCUGGCCGAUUUAAUCUGAACAGAGGAAUUGAGGGUCGAUUGGGUAAAGAUUACUUGCAGAGAAUGAAGCAAUAUGGAUUCAUUGAUGUUGCCAAUAAAAAGGUAAUCAAUUUUAGGGAACAUAGAAUAUCGUGUGACUGAAGAAAGCUUGAUAGACCGUCUAACAACCAACACAAGAGCAGCAUGCCAACUGAUUCCCCAAAACUGCAGGGUGUUAACCAUCCAUGGUUCUGCAGAUAAGAUUGUAGGGAUGGAAGAUGGCCUGGAGUUUGCAAAGCAUAUACUCAACCACCAAUUGCAUAUCAUCAAUGGAGCUGAUCAUGAAUACACCUCUCAUCAGGAUGAGCUCGCUUCAGCUGUCCUUCAUUUCGUCAAAGCCGGUUCCAAUCACGACUCUCCCGCUUCAUACACACAAGCAGCGGAUAAGUCUCUACGUUCAUGCUUAUGACUUGCUUUAUCCGUUCGGAUUAAUAGUAAGCCCGACUAGUACAAUCGGCUAUCACAAUGUUUUGAGAAGUCAAGUGUGGCUAAGGAGUUGUAUUAGUUCAACACAAUUAUAAGCAUCAGGAAAUGUUCAAAUCACAUGAUGAUAUUGAUAAAUCUUAUAAUUGCAACUCCGAGGGGUAGCUCAACCGGUAAGAAAUUGGUUUUAUUUCCGGAGGGUUUAUCUAACGGUUAACCUGGCGGUACCUUUGAUAGCUCUAAAGAUUUUUACGCUAGGACAAAACAAUAAACUCUUAGCCCGUGCCACAAUAUGCAACAUAGUGG